CCUACGGGUGGCAGCAGUGGGGAAUAUUGCACAAUGGGGGAAACCCUGAUCCAGCGACGCCGCGUGCGUGACGAAGUAUCUCGGUACGUAAAGCUCUAUCAGCAGGGAAGAAAAUGACGGUACCUGACUAAGAAGCCCCGGCUAACUACGUGCCAGCAGCCGCGGUAAUACGUAGGGGGCAAGCGUUAUCCGGCUUUCCUGGGUGUAAAGGGAGCGUAGACGGCAGUACAAGGCUGGAGUGAAAUCCCGGGGCGUAACCCCGGAACUGCAUUGGAAACUGUGAGGCUGGAGUGCAGGAGGGGUAAGCGGAAUUCCUAGGGUAGCGGUGAAAGGCGUAGAUAUUAGGAGGAACACCGGUGGCGAAGGCGGCUUACUGGACUGUAACUGACGUUGAGGCUCGAAAGCGUGGGGAGCAAACAGGAUUAGAUACCCUAGUAGUC
rnacentral:rRNA from 1 species